rnacentral:rRNA from 1 species
UACGUAGGGUGCGAGCGUUGUCCGGAAUUAUUGGGCGUAAAGGGCUCGUAGGCGGUUUGUCGCGUCGGGAGUGAAAUCAUCUGGCUUAACUGGGUGCUUGCUUUCGAUACGGGCAGACUAGAGGUAUGCAGGGGAGAACGGAAUUCCUGGUGUAGCGGUGAAAUGCGCAGAUAUCAGGAGGAACACCCGUGGCGAAAGCGGCUCUCUGGGACGGUACUGACGCUGAGGAGCGAAAGUGUGGGGAGCGAACAAG